rnacentral:rRNA from 1 species
CCUACGGGAGGCAGCAGUGAGGAAUAUUGAUCAAUGGACGAGAGUCUGAACCAGCCAAGUAGCGUGAAGGAUGACUGCCCUAUGGGUUGUAAACUUCUUUUAUAUGGGAAUAAAAUGUUCCACGUGUGGGAUUUUGUAUGUACCAUAUGAAUAAGGAUCGGCUAACUCCGUGCCAGCAGCCGCGGUAAUACGGAGGGUCCGAGCGUUAUCCGGAUUUAUUGGGUUUAAAGGGAGCGUAGGUGGAUUGUUAAGUCAGUUGUGAAAGUUUGCGGCUCAACCGUAAAAUUGCAGUUGAAACUGGCAGUCUUGAGUACAGUAGAGGUGGGCGGAAUUCGUGGUGUAGCGGUGAAAUGCUUAGAUAUCACGAAGAACUCCGAUUGCGAAGGCAGUUCACUGGACUGCAACUGACACUGAGGCUCGAAAGUGUGGGUAUCAAACAGGAUUAGAUACCCUAGUAGUC